CCUUCGGGUUGUAAACCUCUUUCAGCAGGGAAGAAGCGGUCGGGUUUUCCUGGUCGUGACGGUACCUGCAGAAGAAGCACCGGCUAACUACGUGCCAGCAGCCGCGGUAAUACGUAGGGUGCGAGCGUUGUCCGGAAUUAUUGGGCGUAAAGAGCUUGUAGGCGGUUUGUCGCGUCUGCUGUGAAAUUUCGGGGCUCAACCCCGAACUUGCAGUGGGUACGGGCAGACUAGAGCGUGGUAGGGGAGACUGGAAUUCCUGGUGUAGCGGUGAAAUGCGCAGAUAUCAGGAGGAACACCGAUGGCGAAGGCAGGUCUCUGGGCCACUACUGACGCUGAGAAGCGAAAGCAUGGGGAGCGAACAGGAUUAGAUACCCUGGUAGUCCAUGCCGUAAACGUUGGGAACUAGGUGUGGGCCUCACUCCACGAGGUCCGUGCCGCAGCUAACGCAUUAAGUUCCCCGCCUGGGGAGUACGGCCGCAAGGCUAAAACUCAAAGGAAUUGACGGAAUCGAAUU
rnacentral:rRNA from 1 species